rnacentral:rRNA from 1 species
GACGAACGCUGGCGGCGUGCCUAAUACAUGCAAGUAGAACGCUGAAGCGAGGAGCUUGCUCUUCUUGGAUGAGUUGCGAACGGGUGAGUAACGCGUAGGUAACCUGCCUUGUAGCGGGGGAUAACUAUUGGAAACGAUAGCUAAUACCGCAUAACAAUGGAUGACACAUGUCAUUUAUUUGAAAGGGGCAAUUGCUCCACUACAAGAUGGACCUGCGUUGUAUUAGCUAGUAGGUGAGGUAAUGGCUCACCUAGGCGACGAUAUAUAGCCGACCUGAGAGGGUGAUCGGCCACACUGGGACUGAGACACGGCCCAGACUCCUACGGGAGGCAGCAGUAGGGAAUCUUCGGCAAUGGGGGCAACCCUGACCGAGCAACGCCGCGUGAGUGAAGAAGGUUUUCGGAUCGUAAAGCUCUGUUGUAAGUCAAGAACGGGUGUGAGAGUGGAAAGUUCACACUGUGACGGUAGCUUACCAGAAAGGGACGGCUAACUACGUG